GGGGCUGUAGUAGGUCCCAAGGGUUGGGCUGUUCGCCCAUUAAAGUGGUACGCGAGCUGGGUUCAGAACGUCGGGAGACAGUUCGGUCCCUAUCCGGCGCAGGCGUAGGAAAUUUGAGAAGACCUGUCCUUAGUACGAGAGGACCGGGAUGGACGUACCUCUGGUGUACCAGUUGUCCUGCCAAGGGCAUGGCUGGGUAGCUAUGUACGGAAUGGAUAAGCGCUGAAAGCAUCUAAGCGCGAAG
rnacentral:rRNA from 1 species